UGCAGCUAUUGUAAAAAAGGUUAGAUUCUUGAUUCUCAGUUUGGUCAUUGUUGAUAUACAGCAGUGCUACUGAUUUGUGCAGAUUGAUUUUGUAUCCUGAAACUUUACUAAAUUUGUUUAUAAAAUCUGGGAGCUUUAUGGAUGAAUCUUUAGAGUUUUUCUAGGUAUAUGACCAUAUGAUUGGUGAACAGCGACGGUUUGACUUCCUCUUUACCAAUAUGGAUGCCUUUUAUUUCUUUUUUUUUUUUUUUGAGAUGGGGUCUUGCUGUCUCCCAGGCUGGAGUGCAGUGGCGCAAUCUCGGCUCACUGCAAG
rnacentral:lncRNA from 1 species